rnacentral:rRNA from 1 species
GAGGAAAAGAAACCAACAGGGAUUGCCCCAGUAACGGCGAGUGAAGCGGCAAGAGCUCAAAUUUGAAAGCUGGCUCCUUCGGGGUCCGCAUUGUAAUUUGCAGAGGAUGCUUCGGGAGCGGUCCCCAUCUAAGUGCCCUGGAACGGGACGUCAUAGAGGGUGAGAAUCCCGUAUGGGAUGGGGUGUCCGCGCCCGUGUGAAGCUCCUUCGACGAGUCGAGUUGUUUGGGAAUGCAGCUCUAAAUGGGUGGUAAAUUUCAUCUAAAGCUAAAUAUUGGCCGGAGACCGAUAGCGCACAAGUAGAGUGAUCGAAAGAUGAAAAGCACUUUGAAAAGAGAGUUAAAAAGCACGUGAAAUUGUUGAAAGGGAAGCGAUUGCGACCAGACUCGCUCGUGGGGUUCAGCCGGCACUCGUGCCGGUGUACUUCCCCGCGGGCGGGCCAGCGUCGGUUUGGGCGGUCAGUCAAAGGCCCCUGGAAGGUAACGCCCCCUCGGGGGCGUCUUAUAGCCAGGGGUGCAAUGUGGCCUGCCCGGACCGAGGAACGCGCUUCGGCUCGGACGCUGGCAUAAUGGUCGUAAUCGACCCGUCUU